rnacentral:miRNA from 1 species
CAGGAGUAAUGACGGGACCUGA